UGGUGGGUUGCCUUGUCAGGUUGAUUCCGGUAACGAACGAGACCUCAGCCUGCUAAAUAGUCAGCAUCGCACCUGCGGUGCGCCGACUUCUUAGAGGGACUAUUGGCGUUCAGCCAAUGGAAGUAUGAGGCGAUAACA
rnacentral:rRNA from 1 species